UCUUUUUCUUCUUUUCUUGGUUCUUCCCGUGUCGGAACAGGGGACGGUGUGGCCCAUCCUUGGCUGGGCCGUUCAGACUAUGGCCGCUGCGGCGGAGGCCGGCGGCCGACGGGGGCCACUCCCCUGAUCAAGGAGAAGCGUGGCCGGCGAUCGAUUUCGAUCGCCGGUGCCGGAAAAAUCCACGGGAAAGAGACCAAAACAGAAGUCUCUUUCCCCGACCGAAAAUCGAUGACUCUCGUUGCCGGCAGCGCGCACAAUGCACGGGGAGGAAGGAGAAGAAAGAGGGGAGGAAGAGAGAAACUUACCUCAGCCUUCGGAGACCUCGCCGGCGAGCAAUUACGGCGAGAAAUCGGACGGUGUCCGCUGCUCUAAUUCGAAAAAAUCGGAGAGAAGGAGAGAGGGAGGAGACCUAUGGAUCGAUUCUAAAGAGAGGGAAGACCUUCUUAUAGAGGGUCCUAGGAUUCCGAGAGAUCCUAGGACUCCUAAUGCGCAUGGGUCUCGUCGGAGAAGAAGAC
rnacentral:lncRNA from 1 species